rnacentral:tRNA from 1 species
GGAAGGGUGGCCCAGUGGUUAGGCCGUUCGCCUGGGACUUGGGCAGCCUGGGUUUAAUUCCCUGCUCUGCCA